GAUGAACGCUGGCGGCGUGCCUAAUACAUGCAAGUCGAGCGAAUGGAUUAAGAGCUUGCUCUUAUGAAGUUAGCGGCGGACGGGUGAGUAACACGUGGGUAACCUGCCCAUAAGACUGGGAUAACUCCGGGAAACCGGGGCUAAUACCGGAUAACAUUUUGAACCGCAUGGUUCGAAAUUGAAAGGCGGCUUCGGCUGUCACAUAUGGAUGGACCCGCGUCGCAUUAGCUAGUUGGUGAGGUAACGGCUCACCAAGGCAACGAUGCGUAGCCGACCUGAGAGGGUGAUCGGCCACACUGGGACUGAGACACGGCCCAGACUCCUACGGGAGGCAGCAGUAGGGAAGCUUCCGCAAUGGACGAAAGUCUGACGGAGCAACGCCGCGUGAGUGAUGAAGGCUUUCGGGUCGUAAAACUCUGUUGUUAGGGAAGAACAAGUGCUAGUUGAAUAAGCUGGCACCUUGACGGUACCUAACCAGAAAGCCACGGCUAACUACGUGCCAGCCGCCGCCGUAA
rnacentral:rRNA from 1 species